rnacentral:rRNA from 1 species
UUAAGUUCAGCCUUGCGGCCGUACUUCCCAGGUGGCUCGCUUCACGGCUUCCCUACGGCACCGACAACGGUCGCACCGUGGCCGACACCUAGCGAGUAUCGUUUACGGCUAGGACUACCCGGGUAUCUAAUCCGGUUCGUGCCCCUAGCUUUCGUCCCUUGCCGUCAGGUCCGUUCUGGUGAGACGCCUUCGCCACUGGUGGUCCUUCAAGGAUUACAAGAUUUCACCCCUACCCCUGAAGUACCUCUCACCUCUCCCGGCCUCGAGCCAGACAGUAUCUCCUGAAAGCCUGACAGUUAAGCUGCCAGAUUUCUCAAGAGACUUAUCCGGCCGGCUACAGACCCUUUAGACCCAAUAAUAACGGUUACCACUCGAGCCGCCGGUGUUACCGCGGCGGCUGGCACCGGUCUUGCCCGGCCCUUGCUAUGAAAUGCUUUUUAGGCAUCUCGACAGCCAGAUUUGUAACCUGGCACUCGAGGUUCCCUUAUCG